rnacentral:rRNA from 1 species
UACAGAGGGUGCGAGCGUUAAUCGGAAUUACUGGGCGUAAAGCGUGCGUAGGCGGUUAUUUAAGUCGGGUGUGAAAGCCCCGGGCUCAACCUGGGAAUUGCAUUCGAGACUGAAUAGCUAGGGUGCGGUAGAGGGAAGCGGAAUUUCCGGUGUAGCGGUGAAAUGCGUAGAUAUCGGAAGGAACAUCAGUGGCGAAAGCGGCUUCCUGGACCAGCACCGACGUUCAGGCACGAAAGCGUGGGGAGCAAACAGG